AAACAUUAAUAAACAAGUAUAGCAUUAAAGUAAAUUUUAUUUGACUGGUAAGCAAGGCAUCCAAAGCUGAGCAAAAAAGAAAACAGAGCAGGAAUCUCACAGACAUUCCAUGGUAUUCUGGCUGUUAUUUCACAUCAGGUGAGAUUCUCAUGUGUACUUGAGAAAUAGUUUUCUGUGAGGAAAUCACAGUUAGCCAAAAAAAAAUUUCAGCCCUGGAGCAUCAGGAAAAAUAAAAUCACACUUUAAAAAUGUGUGGGCUUCUGGAAUGUGAGGCCUUGCUGGGGGUAGCCCAAACCGACUAGGAAAGGGGGGGGGAUUAGUUCUAUUGAUUUUGGGUCUGUUCAGCCAGUCAAGGUCCACCACUAUAGUUCCCACACCCACACAUGGCUAUAAAUCUCUGCGCUAAUACAGCAUGGAGCCAUCUUCCAGGGUUCACUGUCAGAGUCAUCUGAUUCAGAUCGUGAGGGAAAGACAGGGAGGCCAAGGGGGUCCAGAAGGAAAAUGCAUCGACACUAAGAUGGAAAAUGCCACAACUGCUAUACAGCUAAGCCACAAAAUCAAAAUCUGACUAUCUAAAUCUUCUCAAAAGGAGAUGCAUCAACUAUCAACUAACACCUAGCCUCGUUUUCAACUAGACAAUAAGUAAAACAUACCUGUUGUGUUUUGUCAAGCACCGCAACAGUCGUGUGAACGAGGUUCGUGUGGGAGAUGAACAAGGACACACCGUCAGUCUUACAAUAAACGCUCACAGAUAGCCUUUAAGAAAAAAGAAGAACGUAUUGAAAUUAUUCUCAUGGCUGGAUUGGGAAGCUGUCGCAAGGUUUGCGAUGGACUUUAACAGGAAACAUGGCAAGCGUAUUACACAACACUGCUGCCAAACUUAUUAACCAAUUCAAAAAGACUGGAAGUGUUGCGGACCAACCGAGAAGUGGACAUCCAUGAACAUCUACUGACAAAGGCACAACCGACGUGGUCCUGGCAAACAGAGUCCCUUGCGUAUGGAGAGUUUUGGGACACCCUGUGUAUUACACAAACUGAAAAGUGUCAUGCUUUAAGAAGCAGGUUUUGGCAUUUAUUAGUUAAGUUUCACUUAAAUGUUAGUAUAGUUGAAGGUAGAUUAUUUAUGGUUGAAGGGGUUUGGGAAGCCCUGAGCACUUAUGGAGCAUCACUUCUGCACAUCAUUUGUGUGAUGUGACUGAACUGAACAGACCAACCCUAUGCAUGAACACUCAAAACAAGGCUCUAAAGGAUGAAACAACACAAACACAAACCUAACAGAAGCUCAGGAUCACUUCUGAGUCUCAGUGGAAAAUGUGAAGUCGCGCGUGCGGGCACACACAAAGGCAGAGUGAGUGUCUAGAAAGCAGUUCACAAAUACUACAAGCAUGCAUUAUAACAGUAGAGUCUCCAGCACGUGGAUGCAAAUCAGCCGCUUUGCAAGAGC